rnacentral:rRNA from 1 species
UACAGAGGGGGCAAGCGUUGUUCGGAAUUACUGGGCGUAAAGGGCGCGUAGGCGGCCCGCUAAGUCGGACGUGAAAUCCCCGGGCUCAACCCGGAAACUGCUCUGCAUACUGGCAGACUGGAGUGAUGCAGAGGUUUGUGGAAUUCCUGGUGUAACGGUGAAAUGCGCAGAUAUCAGGAGGAACACCGGUGGCGAAGGCGGAUCUCUGGGCCUUACCUGACGCUCAGGCGCGAAAGCUAGGGGAGCGAACAGG